rnacentral:rRNA from 1 species
CAAUAGCGUAUAUUAAAGUUGUUGCAGUUAAAAAGCUCGUAGUUGGAUUUGUGGCUGUCACGGGCGGCCUAUCACUUAGUGUUAGUGCUUGCCUGUGUCGCCAUCCUUGGGUGGAGCCCGUGUGGCAUUAGGUUGUCGUGCGGGGGAUGCCCAUCGUUUACCGUGAGAAAAUUAGAGUGUUCAAAGCAGGCUUAUGCCAUUGAAUAUGUUAGCAUGGAAUAAUAAGAUAGGACCUCGGUACUAUUUUGUUGGUUUGCGCACCGAGGUAAUGAUUAAUAGGGACAGUUGGGGGUAUUCGUAUUUCAUUGUCAGAGGUGAAAUUCUUGGAUUUCUGAAAGACGAACUACUGCGAAAGCAUUUACCAAGGAUGUUUUCAUUAA